CCACGUCACAACAGUUAUCUUUUUUUUUCCUCUAUUUUAUUGCUUUGGUACUGUAAAAGCUGUAACUUUUUUCAAAUUCAGUUCCAUCACUUUGUAAUAUUUUCUUAUUAUUUUUCCAAAAUCACUGAUGGAUAUUAAUUUGUCAAAAGCCUAUGCUUUAAUUUAGUCAGAAAGAAAUGUGAGUUAGUGUAGAGUCCCAAAGUUUGAAGCAGCAAAAAUAUUUUAGUGAUUAAAAAAAAGUAAGGGCAAAGUUUAGUCUUCCAGUGUGGUGUUAUGCUGUUGGGGUAUACAGUCCAAAUUGUCCUAUGUAUAGACUCUCAAUAUGGCAUAAUUCACAGUACCUUUUCUCUCUUGUAGGAGUAUUGUUGGCAGAGAUCUUUGUGUGUGUCUGUAACCAAGUGUGCAGACCAAGAAUAAGUCCUUCCUACAAACCACUGCUACACUGAUAGAUUUAGUCCUAAACCAGUUUCGUAUUAGGGGGACAUUUGCAAUGAUGACGUCUGUUGUCCCAGUAAUUGUUAGUGUGCUGGGCCCUGCUUUCCUGGAAAUGGUUGCACAUCUGCCUGCCAAUGGGAAGCAGUGAAUGAAUUGCUUGCUGUGCUUUGCUUGUGAGCACAGCUUUUGCUGCCAUCUCACCCCGUGAGUUUUCUCGUGUUUAGCUUUCCAGUUCUCACCCCAACCCCAGUGUGGGAGAGUGAGCGAGCAGCUGGGUGAUGCUGAGCUGCCUGGUCAGGGUUAAACCACAAUUCCUAAUGUUCCUGGCGAGUGCACACCUUUGAGUCCAGAAAUAUCACUUCUUACUGUGGCUUCAUUUAUUUCUCUGAUAGCUGGUUUUUACAUUUGCACCACCAACUCUUGUGUUUCACUUUUGCCCUCUGCACUUCCUAGGUUGGCAUUCAGACCUUUCAGUUGUUGUCUUCUUGUCCUUGCUUCCUUCCUUCCUGGAUACUGCUUUCUGGUGUGCUGUGUUCAGGCAUUUAUGCAAGCAGCUACUUCCUCUCCUCUAUCUGAUUUUGUACUCCUAUUCCUCUUACUUUCCUUUUUCUGCGUAUCAACACCACAUAGUGGGAUCUCCUAUCUUUAA
rnacentral:lncRNA from 1 species